AUUGAACGCUGGCGGCAGGCUUAACACAUGCAAGUCGAACGCCCCGCAAGGGGAGUGGCAGACGGGUGAGUAACGCGUGGGAAUCUACCUAGUUCUACGGAACAACAGUUGGAAACGACUGCUAAUACCGUAUACGCCCUACGGGGGAAAGAUUUAUCGGAAUUAGAUGAGCCCGCGUAAGAUUAGCUAGUUGGUGGGGUAAUGGCCUACCAAGGCGACGAUCUUUAGCUGGUCUGAGAGGAUGAUCAGCCACACUGGGACUGAGACACGGCCCAGACUCCUACGGGAGGCAGCAGUGGGGAAUAUUGGACAAUGGGCGCAAGCCUGAUCCAGCCAUGCCGCGUGAGUGAUGAAGGCCUUAGGGUUGUAAAGCUCUUUCACCGAUGAAGAUAAUGACGGUAGUCGGAGAAGAAGCCCCGGCUAACUUCGUGCCAGCAGCCGCGGUAACAC
rnacentral:rRNA from 1 species